GUUCCUCACGGCUCACGCCAUUUCCGGUUUCCUUUCCCUCAGCUGUUUCUUGGCUUUUCGUCUGGACAAAUCGGGUGGUGGUGUGUACUGGUUUUCGGUAAAAUUCGGCUCGGCCUCACACGAGCCUAUCUAGGUCCGUCUCUGGAGUGGCCUGUCAUCGAUCGCGCCCUCCAUCGCUGAGCGACACAAGUGGAACCUCCCAGGACUGCAUUCUGCGUAGGUGACCUGUGUGGCGCGGACCGGGCGGGGCCUUUUUGUCCUUGAGCAAACCUAGUAUACUUUCUCAGUGGUGGUUGGAAGGAAAUUUGUAACCCUGUCAUUUCGCAAGUAUGGAAAAAGACCUAAAGGAGAAUUUAGCAGCUGCAGCCGCUGUUUUUAUUGAGUACUUUACUAGCGUCAACUCUUAAAUAAUCGCUUGUUAGAUGUUACCCCUAUUUUAUAGGUCAAGAGACUCAAUAUGUCGGUACGUUGGUAAGGCCAGGCAGCAGGUAAGUUGUAAAACCAUUAUAAAAACACAGGUCAUUAGUCAAAAGACUGCUUCAGGUCUCCUGGCUCCAAAUCCGGGGUUCCUUUCACUGUAGCAUGUUUACUGCUCAAAUAUUUCUCUACAACCCUAUUGCUUAACAACAGGAAUGAAUUGUUUCAUCAUUUGUUGGAAACAUAUGGGUCACGUUUUGUACCAGCAGCAGAAAAUACAGAAAUUAGUAAGAAUUAUCUGCCCACCAGAGGCAUCACCAACCCAGAUUCCCCUCUCGGCCCAGUUUUUCCACCCUUAUUGCCUUCUCCCUUCUGGAAUAACGAACUGGUCCUAGAAACAUAGCAUACUUUUUAGUAUCUCUGUGCCUUGUCAUGUGCUGUUCGUCUUACCAGGAAACUACCCUGCCUUUCCCCCAGUUUUUGUCUGUGAACACAUUUGGGGAAUUCUCCUGAUCCUACCUCUACUCUCUUGAGGUACAGUAAAUUGUCUUUGACUUCCAUCACCUUUUGUAAUAUUACUAAUUUCCAUUUAUUGAGUUCCUGUGAUCUGCCUGGUACUGAUCUAAGUGCUUUAUAUUAGUUUUCUUGUUCAUUUUUUUAUACUAACAUAAAUGAGUUUGACUCAAUUCUUAUAACCUGCCAAAAUAAGUAUUCCUCUUCCUUUUUACAGAGAGAGAAACAAGGAACAAAAAAGUAAAUUGCCUGAGGAUACACUGCUAGUGUUGCGGGACAAAUGAGAGACGGGAGAGGCCGAACAGAGUUCAGGAGAGCUCUUUAUUAUUAAGCCGCGCUGGGGAGGGAAGCAAGACCUCGCCGUGCCUCAAGGAAUGUGAAACCAUGGAACACAGAUAAGCCUCUCCGUGCAUAGAGAAGAAAUAAGCAGUUAAUAUUCUUUCCUAACCCAGGCCUCCAGACCAGGGGGCUAUAUUACAUUCUACCUCUAAGGAAAAGAAUAAACUUCUUGACUAACAUAAUUA